rnacentral:rRNA from 2 species
UGGAGAGUUUGAUCCUGGCUCAGGACGAACGCUGGCGGCGUGCCUAAUACAUGCAAGUCGAGCGGAUCUUGUCCUUCGGGAUAAGRUUAGCGGCGGACGGGUGAGUAACACGUGGGUAACCUGCCCAUAAGACUGGGAUAACAUUCGGAAACGAAUGCUAAUACCGGAUACGCGAAUYGGUCGCAUGGCCGAAUCGGGAAAGGCGGAGCAAUCUGCCACUUAUGGAUGGACCCGCGGCGCAUUAGCUAGUUGGUGGGGUAACGGCUCACCAAGGCGACGAUGCGUAGCCGACCUGAGAGGGUGAUCGGCCACACUGGGACUGAGACACGGCCCAGACUCCUACGGGAGGCAGCAGUAGGGAAUCUUCCGCAAUGGACGAAAGUCUGACGGAGCAACGCCGCGUGAGUGAUGAAGGUUUUCGGAUCGUAAAGCUCUGUUGCCAGGGAAGAACGCUUGCGAGAGUAACUGCUCGCAAGGUGACGGUACCUGAGAAGAAAGCCCGGCUAACUACGUGCCAGCAGCCGCGGUA